rnacentral:rRNA from 1 species
CCUACGGGUGGCAGCAGUGGGGAAUAUUGCACAAUGGGGGAAACCCUGAUGCAGCGACGCCGCGUGAGUGAAGACGUAUUUCUGUAUGUAAAGCUCUAUCAGCAGGGAAGAAAUAGCGACCUUUGGGUCGCCAGACGGUACCUGAUUAAGAAGCCCCGGCUAACUACGUGCCAGCAGCCGCGGUAAUAAGUAGGGGGCAAGCGUUAUCCGGAUUUACUGGGUGUAAAGGGAGCGUAGACGGCAGCGCAAGGCUGAAGUGAAAUGCCGGGGCUUAACCCCGGAACUGCUUUUGAAACUGUGCAGCUAGAGUGCAGGAGAGGUAAGUGGAAUUCGUAGUGUAGCGGUGAAAUGCGUAGAUAUUAGGAGGAACACCAGUGGCGAAGGCGGCUUACUGGACUGUAACUGACGUUGAGGCUCGAAAGCGUGGGGAGCAAACAGGAUUAGAUACCCGAGUAGUC